CAAUAGCGUAUAUUAAAGUUGUUGCGGUAAAAAAGCUCGUAGUUGGAUUUCUACCGAAGAUAGCCGGUCGGGUCUUCGACCGUGUAUCUGGUUUUGUCUUUGGUAUCCUCAUAGGGAACGUUUCUGCGCUUUAUUGCGUGGUGCGGUAUCUAUGACUUUUACUUUGAGGAAAUUAGAGUGUUCACGGCAGGCAAACGCCUUGAAUAUAUUAGCAUGGAAUAAUAACAUAGGAUCUUCGUCCUAUUUUGUUGGUUUCUAGGGCUAAGAUAAUGAUUAAUAGGGAUAAUUGGGGGCAUCUGUAUCAACGCGUCAGAGGUGGAAUUCUUGGAUUGCGUUGCGACAAACUACUGCGAAAGCAUUUGCCAAGGAUGUUUUCAUUGA
rnacentral:rRNA from 1 species